CAAAACUGCAACAAUAAAAAAUUAAAAAUAAAAAAAUGGAAACUUCAAAUAUGUUUGUUUAUCUGCGCUUACGAAAGCUGCCAAUAUAAUUUUCAACGACUAGCGAAAUAUGUGCAUACACUUCAGCAGUUUUAGUGAGAGGUUUUUGGGACUCACAAUGAAUUAUUUCCAUCGACUACCUAUACAAGAUAAAAUAAGGCGUCAUUGGAUCGAGGUCCAAUCGAGAUCAAAGUUAGGUCAGUUUGUUAGAUCAAAGUAUGACUAAUAACAUAUUUCUGCAAACAUAUUGGCACACCGACACGUUAUUACAAGCAAUUCUCUAACUGGCUUGUAUACAACUCAAAACUCUGCCACCUGUAGAGCGACCUUUAACUCUUGGAGCAACUAUGUUCAAUUUUGUGAUGUGUGGAAAAAUAUGAAUCAAAUAAUUACAGCAUUUGCCAUUAAUUAAAAGGUAAGGUUGAUGCAAAUCCAUGAAACCGAAAAAGUGACCUCACGGCAUACGUACAAAUGUUUAUGCGAGUAUGUGUGCAAAUGCGUGAAUAUUUGCUUUUUGGUCGAAAUGAUUAACCUGACAGCGCACAGUGGGGUAAAUUUGUAUCAAUAAUGGAUGUAUGUAAAUAAAUAUAUGUAUACAUAUGUAUGUAACUAAGUUAAAUAGUAUUGCAAAUAUUAUAAUUUCUGGCCUAAAAAUAGUUUUAAACAUAAAUUGCUAUGUAAAAUGAUUAACGAAAUAAACUAACGUAAUGUCAAAUUAAAUAAAAAAAUAAUUAUAUGUUAUGUACGAGCACAACUUAAGCAGCCUUUUUUUGGUAAUUUAUUUAUUUUUUGGUAUAAGUUAUAUUAUGGUAUA